rnacentral:rRNA from 1 species
GUAGGGAAUAUUGGGCAAUGGAUGCAAGUCUGACCCAGCCAUCCCGCGUGCCGGAAGAAGGCCCUCAGGGUUGUAAACGGCUUUUGACGGUGAAGAAUCGACAGGAUGCGUCCUGUUUUGACGGUAGCCGUUGAAUAAGCACCGGCUAACUCCGUGCCAGCAGCCGCGGUAAUACGGAGGGUGCGAGCGUUGUCCGGAUUUAUUGGGUUUAAAGGGUGCGUAGGCUGGAAGGUCAGUCAGCGGUGAAAAGCUGUCGCUUAACGAUAGUCUUGCCGCAGAUACUUCCUUUCUUGGAUGAGGAGGAGGCCACUGGAACGGAUGGUGUAGCGGUGAAAUGCAUAGAUAUCAUCCAGAACACCGAUUGCGAAGGCAGGUGGCUGUACCUUAUUCGACGCUGAUGCACGAAAGCAUGGGGAGCAAACAGGAUUAGAUACCCGGGUAGUCC